ensembl:misc_RNA Y_RNA Y RNA
GGCUGGUCCGAAGGUAGUGAGUUAUCUCAACUGAUUGUUCACAAUUUCAGAUGGAACUCCUUGUUCUUCUCUCUUCCUGCUUCUCACUACUGGACCCAGCUGGUCUUUU